rnacentral:rRNA from 1 species
AGAGUUUGAUCCUGGCUCAGGAUGAACGCUAGCGGCAGGCUUAAUACAUGCAAGUCGAGGGGCAGCACGGGUAGCAAUACCUGGUGGCGACCGGCGCACGGGGGCGGGUACGUAACGCGUAUGUAAUCUACCAUUAACCGGGGAAUAGCCCAGAGAAAUCUGGAUUAAUGCCCCAUAGUAUUAUCGAAAGGCAUCUUUUGAUAAUUAAAGCUCAGGCGGUUUUUGAUGAACAUGCGUGUCAUUAGUUUGUUGGUGAGGUAACGGCUCACCAAGACUACGAUGACUAGGGGGUCUGAGAGGAUGAUCCCCCACACUGGUACUGAGACACGGACCAGACUCCUACGGGAGGCAGCAGUAAGGAAUAUUGGGCAAUGGAGGCAACUCUGACCCAGCCAUGCCGCGUGAAGGAUUGACGGCCCUCUGGGUUGUAAACUUCUUUUGUACGGGAAUAACCCUCCGAACGUGUUAGAAGUGACGGUACCGUAGGAAUAAGCACCGGCUAACUCCGUGCCAGCAGCCGCGGUAAUACGGAGGGUGCAAGCGUUAUCCGGAUUUAUUGGGUUUAAAGGGUGCGUAGGCGGUCUAUUAAGUCAGCGGUGAAAGUUUUCAGCUUAACUGGAAAAAUGCCGUUGAUACUGAUAGGCUAGAAUAUGGUUGCUGUGGGUGGAAUGUGUGGUGUAGCGGUGAAAUGCUUAGAUAUCACACAGAAUAUCAAUUGCGAAGGCAGCUCACAAAGCCAUUAUUGACGCUGAGGCACGAAAGUGUGGGGAUCAAACAGGAUUAGAUACCCUGGUAGUCCACACCGUAAACGAUGAUCACUCGCUGUUUGCGAUAUACAGCAAGCGGCUGAGCGAAAGCAUUAAGUGAUCCACCUGGGGAGUACGAUCGCAAGGUUGAAACUCAAAGGAAUUGACGGGGGCCCGCACAAGCGGAGGAACAUGUGGUUUAAUUCGAUGAUACGCGAGGAACCUUACCUGGGCUUAAAUGUAGGCUGCAUUCGGCUGAAAGGCUGAUUCCCUUCGGGGCUGCUUACAAGGUGCUGCAUGGUUGUCGUCAGCUCGUGCCGUGAGGUGUCGGGUUAAGUCCCAUAACGAGCGCAACCCUUAUCGUUAGUUGCCAGCGGGUCAAGCCGGGGACUCUAGCGAGACUGCCGGUGUAAACCGUGAGGAAGGUGGGGAUGACGUCAAAUCAGCACGGCCCUUAUGUCCAGGGCUACACACGUGUUACAAUGGCCGAUACAAAGGGCAGCUACUCCGCGAGGAGAUGCUAAUCCCAAAAAGCCGGCCCAGUUCGGAUCGAAGUCUGCAACUCGACUUCGUGAAGCUGGAUUCGCUAGUAAUCGCGCAUCAGCAAUGGCGCGGUGAAUACGUUCCCGGGCCUUGUACACACCGCCCGUCAAGCCAUGGAAGCUGGGGGUACCUGAAGUCUGUAACCGCAAGGAGCGGCCUAGGGUAAAACUAGUAACUGGGGCUAAGUCGUAACAAGGUAACC